rnacentral:tRNA from 1 species
GGGCGAUUAGCUCAGCGGCCAGAGCGGCUGCCUUACACGCAGCGGGUCGGCGGUUCAAAUCCGUCAUCGCCCA